GGAUGAACGCUGGCGGCGUGCCUAAUACAUGCAAGUCGAGCGAACGGACGAGAAGCUUGCUUCUCUGAUGUUAGCGGCGGACGGGUGAGUAACACGUGGAUAACCUACCUAUAAGACUGGGAUAACUUCGGGAAACCGGAGCUAAUACCGGAUAAUAUUUUGAACCGCAUGGUUCAAAAGUGAAAGACGGUCUUGCUGUCACUUAUAGAUGGAUCCGCGCUGCAUUAGCUAGUUGGUAAGGUAACGGCUUACCAAGGCAACGAUGCAUAGCCGACCUGAGAGGGUGAUCGGCCACACUGGAACUGAGACACGGUCCAGACUCCUACGGGAGGCAGCAGUAGGGAAUCUUCCGCAAUGGGCGAAAGCCUGACGGAGCAACGCCGCGUGAGUGAUGAAGGUCUUCGGAUCGUAAAACUCUGUUAUUAGGGAAGAACAUAUGUGUAAGUAACUGUGCACAUCUUGUCGGUACCUAAUCAGAAAGCCACGGCUAACUACGUG
rnacentral:rRNA from 1 species